UGCGGGAUCGUCUAAUGGUAGGACAGCGGCCUUUGGAACCGUCAAUCUAGGUUCGAAUCCUGGUCCCGCAG
rnacentral:tRNA from 1 species